GGAUGUGAGGGUGAUCUGGCUGCAACAUCUGUCACCAGGGUUGAUUCGGCUGAUCUGGCUGGCUAGGCGGGUGUCCCCUCCCUCCCUCACCACUGGUCCAUGUGUGUCCCUCCUGAAGCUGGGUGCUCAGUCAAACAGGACCACCAUCCCCGAUAGAGGAGGACUGGUCUUCAGUCAAGGGUGUACAAGUAGCUGCAUUCCCCUGCUAGAACCUCCAAACAAGCUCUCAAGCUCCAGACUCUGUCCUGGACUCCAGAUUCAAAUGCCCAAGUAUCCAUACCACUUUCACCUGCCUUU
rfam:Dipodomys ordii contig_5210, whole genome shotgun sequence.